rnacentral:misc_RNA from 1 species
CGAAUAGAAAAAAGGAUGUUCAAUUAGAAAAUGAUAGUUCGAAUAGUGGAAUGAGGUCAAAGGAAGCUGGGGAUCGGAGGAAAAUGAAUAAUAGUAGUGAAAGUAUUGGUGAGGUUGUGAAUGUUGUGGAGAAGAACAAGUUAGAUGAUAGUAUUGUGAAAAGGGGUGAUGAGAGAGGAGGGUUGAAAGAAGGUGAAAGGGAGAAGAAAGGAAACGAUAGUGGUUUCGAGAUAGAUGACAGGAAAGAUAAUGUAAAAGAAGCUGAACAUCAAGAGAAAGCAAACAAUAGUAGUUCGGAUAAGAAGGAGAAGGGAAAGGUUCUUCCGGAUGGAAUUCAGUCUAGAGAGGUGAUAUUGCCUGCAAGAAAGGAGAGCUUUCAUGGAGAAGAAUGUGAUUCAUCUUAUAGUUGCACAAUAGAGGAAAAGGCAUUGGUUGCAUGUCUAAGAGUUCCGGGAAAUGAAUCUCCAGACCUCUCACUUUUGGUUCAGAACAAGGGAAAAGACACUGCCAGCAUUUCUAUUAAGGCUCCUAAGUUUGUAACACUGGAGCAUAACGAGAUUGAACUCCAAG